AGAUGCCCUGUUCCACUUUGAACCUUGAUUAAAGCUGCCCAGGCUGAGCUGUCAGCGUGACUCAGCGGCAGCACCGAUACCCAGUGUUCACACUGAGCUGCUCACUCCUGUGCAGAGUUUGCAUUACAGAUCUCCUGAGAAACUUUAUGUAAGACAAAGGCACCAAACACAGCCUAUGCAUUACAUCAAGGUCCAUAACAAACACAGUUACACCAAUUUCAUCUGAGAACUGAAAACAAAAAUCCAAACUUGAUGUAGCUAUAAAUCUUAAAAUCUUCUCUCCCUCUAUGUUUUUUUAAAGGAGAGUAAGUUAUAGCUGGAAUUCUCUAUUAUUUGAGCUUAUCUUCAAUCAGUUCUUGAAAGAUUUGUCCCCCCUUACUCUUGGACCGUAGAAAAUGUGUAUCUUCAAGAAGUUAUUAUGUGGACUGGCUGAUAUUUUUGUAAGCUUAAUAAAUAAGAAUUUUUUUAUUAAUAAAUCACAGUAGAGAUGCAUGAAAGUUAAUUUUAUGGAGGUCAGCCAUUCUGUCAUCCAGGAUAGACAGGAUCUUAAUUGGGACAUAAAGAACAAGCAGAAUAGAAAAUAAAGGAAAAAAUAAUCGGGAUCUUCUCGAAACAUCUCUCACUUCAGCCUUUCUUCGAACAGCACAAAGUAGGAUCUGGCUGACAGCAUUUAUUCCCUUGAAGGUCAGCUUUAAAAGAAAGAGCUACUGUAGCUACCUCAAAAGCCUGUGAAGCUUUCAUUUUUUUUUCCCUCAGUGGAGGAGAGAGCGUGAACUCUGGAAGAAGGCAAGAGAAGAGGCAGCCAUGUGCUGACCCAGGGAGAUGCUCCCAUGGAAAUACAGCUCGUUCCCCACAGUGGGGUCCUGCUCUGCAGAGCCCAGAGGGGAAUGCAGAAAGCUCCCUCACUGUGACAGAGAAAGAUGAGUUUCCAUGCUGAGUCACCUCUCUCUCAGUGCCUCUCCUAUCUGACAGUGUUGAGCCAGCAAACACUGACUUUCCGUGGCAAAAUGCCUGAGAGAGGAGAUUAGGCUGCCUUUGUUUGUAGCUGUUUCAUUUAUUAGGUCACGAGGCUCCUGAAGUCAUCAUGGGGCUGUUUGAAAACAGCAACACGCGAGGCCAGAGCACAGGCAGAGAAGGUUCCUUUGCAAAUGUGCACCGCUUGCAUUUGGUUACUUUUAACCGAAAGAGGAUUUACAGCAUCAGCAAGUGAAAAUCACACAGACAAAUCACACAGCACCUACAGACAGCUCUGCCAAGUGACAUCUGGACUUAGUGAUUUAACUAUUAUCAGGGUGCUUGCAUUUGAAACAACCCUGGCCCUCUUGAUCAGGUGAGGCAGACUUGGAGAGGGGCACAUAGCACUACUUUGGAAAAGUUGUGCUAAUUAUCAAGAGUUACUCUUUUUUUUAUUUGUAAUCAGAUUUUCUGCUUCUGUAAUUCCCUUCUUUUUAUGACAUUUAUGGUUAAAUUGCAAGACUUUCAUUUACAUACUGUUACAGUAUGGUUUGCAUGGCCCUAGGUGGAAGAUAGUAAGUUGUUAACUAGGCUUCCAGCACUCAACAACUGAAACCCACAAAAAUAUGCAAACUAAACUGCAGAGAGGACUGAGAGAGAACAGAGUUUAAAAAAAAAAAACCCAAACCAAAAAAAAAAACCCACUAAAGCAAAAGCAUCUCCACCCCCUUUUGUUAAGUGGUAGUUUUGACAUGUCUGCCACCAGACUGAAUUGAAAGGGGAGGCUCACUCUGAAUUUUUUUGUGGGAAGCUAAAUGACACAAAUGGAAGUGUCUUUUUACAAUGCAUCCUGUGCUGGAAAUUCAACUGCUGUGUCAACUUCACAAAACAGUAUUAUAAAUUCAUUCAGAAAGGGACUCAGCAAAUUAAUGAAGACAGAUCAAUCAGGAGCUAUUAAACACCACAGUCUGAGGUGCACAGGUUUUUGCCAAAAGUGGACAAGGUGUCCCAAAGGAAAAAUCACACUAUGGAUAUUUCAUUCUUCAAGCUGUUUCCUAAUCAUCUGUCACUGGCCUCUGUCGGAAACCGGACACAAAGUUCAGUCAAUAUUUUAACCAAGUCAGUAGGAAACCUUUGCUGUCAGCCUCAAGUUUAAAAUAAGCAUGGUUGAGAAUACAGUAUGUGCCAGAGGAAGGCAAACAGCAGAGCUCCUGGCUCCCAAGCGAGCCAGAAAAGUAAUUUUCUGCAUGAAAUGCUCCAAGUAAUAAAGUAUCUUUAAAGCUUUA